UACGUAGGGUGCGAGCGUUAAUCGGAAUUACUGGGCGUAAAGCGUGCGCAGGCGGCUUACUAAGACAGGUGUGAAAGCCCCGAGCUUAACUUGGGAAUGGCGCUUGUGACUGGUAGGCUGGAGUGUGGCAGAGGGAGGUGGAAUUCCACGUGGAGCAGUGAAAUGCGUAGAGAUGUGGAGGAACACCGAUGGCGAAGGCAGCCUCCUGGGCCAGCACUGACGCUCAUGCACGAAAGCGUGGGGAGCAAACAGG
rnacentral:rRNA from 1 species